rnacentral:rRNA from 1 species
GAAGCUGGAAUCGCUAGUAAUCGCGGAUCAGAAUGCCGCGGUGAAUACGUUCCCGGGUCUUGUACACACCGCCCGUCACACCAUGGGAGUCGGAAAUGCCCGAAGUCUGUGACCUAACCGUAAGGAAGGAGCAGCCGAAGGCAGGUCGGAUGACUGGGGUGAAGUCGUAACAAGGUACC